rnacentral:rRNA from 1 species
AUGACUCGUCGGCAACGUACUCUGCUGGCACGCGCCGGCGACGGGGUCCCACGCGAGCCCGGGGACGCAGAGGCAGCGCCGCACCGCGCCGGCCGCGACCGGGUCGCCGGCGCACGUGGCGUUGGCGCCGUCCUCGCAGUCCGCCUGCGUCUGGCAGAGCGGCUCCCUCGGCGUCGCCCACUGCAGCUCCAGGCCGAGGCGGCCGCCCCACGUCGCCGGAGGCUGCGCGGGGUCGAGGUUCACGAAGCUGGUGUAGGCGCUGCAGAGCUCGGGCGAGGCGCGGAUCCGGUGCGACGUCGACGACCCGCCGGCCACGAACGUGCAGCAGAGCGGCAGCGGCGCGCAGGGCGACCGCGCGGCGUCGGCGUAGGCGUGGCAGAGCGAGCUGGACGAGCAGUUGAGCGGCGAGCGCAGCAGCGCGGAGGUGCAGUUGAGGCACAUGAUGGUGUUGGAGGAGCUCACGUUGAAGGGCAGCGACGGGUCCAGCUGCACGCCGCGCCCAGCGGGGGCCCCCACGGACACGCAGCUGUCGUUGGACACCAGCGGCGCCGGGGCGACCACCAGGCGCUGCGCCGCCGGGGACACGGAGGUGAUCGGGUAGGAGGUGCCGUUGAGCGCGUCGAAGAAGAGCGUCGACGUCGACGCGCCGGCCGCGCACCGGACCUUGUACGCCGGGUCGCCGCACCCGUCCGCCGUGCUCAGCGGGUACGGCACCGCCGUCGAGCCGCACGGAGGGCAGACCCGCGCAUGGCCGCCCAGCGGCAGCAGCGCGAGGAUGGCGACUGCUGCAACCUCGAAGAGGAACAAGGGACGACGGCCGCAAAACGGUGUGCUCGCGGCCAUUGCUUCAAGCUUCUUUGCCGUUGCUGUAGGGGUGGCUGGUGGAUCUGCGAACGAUUUAAGGUGUGGUUGAAUCUUUAUGGUUGCGUUGAGUGGAAGGUCGGAAAUGUUUGA